CCUACGGGUGGCAGCAGUGGGGAAUAUUGCACAAUGGGGGAAACCCUGAUGCAGCGACGCCGCGUGAGUGAAGAAGUAUUUCGGUACGUAAAGCUCUAUCAGCAGGGAAGAAAAUGACGGUACCUGACUAAGAAGCCCCGGCUAACUACGUGCCAGCAGCCGCGGUAAUACGUAGGGGGCAAGCGUUAUCCGGAUUUACUGGGUGUAAAGGGAGGGUAGACGGCAGCGCAAGUCUGGAGUGAAAUCCCAUGGCUUAACCAUGGAACUGCUUUGGAAACUGGGCAGCUAGAGUGCAUGAGAGGUAAGCGGAAUUCCUAGUGUAGCGGUGAAAUGCGUAGAUAUUAGGAGGAACACCAGUGGCGAAGGCGGCUUACUGGACUGUAACUGACGUUGAGGCUCGAAAGCGUGGGGAGCAAACAGGAUUAGAUACCCCAGUAGUC
rnacentral:rRNA from 1 species